UUCUACGUCAAUUAUAGACGGAUUAUAUGAUUGCUCUUUACGUUGAUUAUAGAACAGAUUAUAGCACACGUAACUAAUGAUCACCUUUAUUCGUACCUUUAUGACCUGCCCCGUAAAACCACGGUCCGAGUCGAUGUGGGAUUUAGGUCUAGCAGGCAACUCGGUAACCCUACGCUCUUUCAGGUCGACCACGUCGUCAAAUCCGGGCACCUUUUCCUUCUAUGCCAUCGCUUAUGCACCACGUGUCACAGCAUACACCCGGAAAAGCCAUACCCGCAGGCAGCAGCGCGCACCCAGGCGCCUGCCGAGACAGUGACCCUACCCGUCACGGUACCGUGUCCAGCAAUCAGCUCCCUCGCACCUUUAGGUCUCGGCAGUAGGGUAGCCGAACCCGGGCAGUAACGUCCCAACGAGAACCUAGAGCUCCCUUGCUCCCGCUGCAGCUCCUGCCGGCCGCCGCACCGUCCUACCUCCUCUUGCCGAACCUCAAACACGAGCUAGACCACCAGUCCUAGGGUUGAGCCCUUCUCAAGCGACUAUUGGAACUCGUGGGCCUAGGCCACGGCGACUCCGACGACGGGUCCCCCCCUCCGACCGCGAGAACCGGGCAUACUAAGUUUACCACUUAAACCAACGCGGGACUCCGCGCCGCCUUUUCUCGGCGCAACGGUUGUUUCAGUCGAGUUAGAUAGCCUUUCCAAUUAGCCCUCCGUGGACCUACUACCUGCUUUUCCAAUUCUGAUCCCUCACGUGGCGGCCUGUCUUUAAGCACGCGAAGUACCUACUCGCGUGACCUCGUUAGGUAUGCCUUCAAACGACUCCUUGCCUGCUCCUCACACUAAUUUGGUCUUAAUCCUUGUGCAAGGCUAAGCAACUUGCUCCGUAUGCUGAAGACGUCAGAAAUAAGUACCCUUCAAUCUAAGUCAUUUUUUCGGCUGACUUACGUCUUUCUUGGUUCAGCUACGUCCUCUCUCACACGCCAACAAGCGAUCCAAGACACCAUGCUCUAUGUUACCUUUCGGACUCCGUCUCUUAUCGACUAGUACGUCCACGCUCACGGCUUUCAAAACUUACUCAAAAACGACUCAGGACUCUUACAACCCACCUAGUGGCGGAUGCUGUUAAAACUGACUAGUUUUGUCUCGUCGGCCUAAAACUUGGGAAUGAACGGUUAGUCGGCUUAAAAAGCAUAUCUAAAAAACACUUUUGACAAAAUGGAUUUCUUAUAAAGUUAAUCAAUCGACUUGAUCCCAUUUAACAAGCAUUUAGUCAUGGACGUAUCUAUAACGUAAUCAUCCCUCUUGAUGACAUGACUUAAUCGUGCAAACGUUUAAAAGUGCGAUACGGAACCGUCACGUGGUGGUCUGUCCCGUGGUACACGAAGAUCCUACGAAUUUGACAAAAAACCAACUAGUAACGUUUUUAAUUUACAACAAUAGGACGUUCUUUACCAAGUUCGUGAAGGUAGGUGACGACCGCCACCGUAGGCCUGUCCUGAACUACCUACUCGAGUGAGGACCCCCACUCAAUUGUGACUUAAACACACGUAAGUUGCCUACGGGUCACUCUUUCUCUUCUUUUACAUGGUGCCUACCGAACUGUCUACCUCUCUCUAAAAAAUAGGACAAAAACACCUACUCGAAACAUUCCUUCUGCUGCUUUAUCUGACCCUAAUUUGGUAAGUACAAGGGACACUACAAGUACCUAACGACCAGGAACAUGUAAGAGCUGUGACUCUUCUUCUAACGUUACCAAGAACUAGGUUGUCUCUGUCUAGGUAAUCUACUCUACUUCUCCUUCGUACUCCGCGACCGCUCCUUCAAGGUCGCAUCCAAAAUGUUGGAAAAAUUACUGUUCAAACCUCGUCCGAACCAGCUCUGCUGACCUACCAGUAAACACAUGGGCAACCAACGCGUUGUGCUCGGUACGUGGUCCCUUCUGCCACACCACAUACAGCACGUGAUGUAUGACCUCAAGUGACCGGAAAUGGACUCUAGCUUAUACUUGGUCCUCGUCUAGCUCGUGGAGGCGUUCUUCUAACGUACACUCUAUCACUGCUACUUCCCCUUAUUCCCUACGUAGGGUCUCAAGGACAUGCUCCUCUAGGAGCUGAUUUCACUACUUCAUAAGCAAGUGAGAUGCACGUCGGGCCGUUCUAGAAAACCAACUUAACAGGGCUAAAUCAACGACCCCGUAAAACGUCGUGUUUGUGGACGGUGGAACAUCUACUUUUUGAUACCUGUACAUGACGUAAAAAUCUACCUAAGAAUUCGUCAAAUUCAUUUACAUUCGCGACUAUACUAUACACCUACAUACAAGUAGAGAGUCUUACACGUUACGAUAACCAUGAUCACCAAUAAACUAGGGCACUAAAAGUAUGGUCUUAA
rnacentral:rRNA from 1 species